GAUGAAGAACGCAGCGAAAUGCGAUAAGUAAUGUGAAUUGCAGAAUUCAGUGAAUCAUCGAAUCUUUGAACGCACAUUGCGCCCUCCGGUAUUCCGGGGGGCAUGCCUGUCCGAGCGUCAUUGCUGCCCUCAAGCACGGCUUGUGUGUUGGGCUUCCGUCCCUGGCAACGGGGACGGGCCCAAAAGGCAGUGGCGGCACCAUGUCUGGUCCUCGAGCGUAUGGGGCUUUGUCACCCGCUCCCGUAGGUCCAGCUGGCAGCUAGCCUCGCAACCAAUCUUUUUAACCAGGUUGACCUCGGAUCAGGUAGGGAUACCCGCUGAACUUAAGCAUAUCAAUAAGCGGAGGA
rnacentral:misc_RNA from 1 species